GAAAUUUGGAGGAUGAGGAUAUUUCUCAGUUCAAAAAGGAAGACCAGUUACAGAAUUCUGCGGUUACGGAGUGAAUGCUAAAGAUCACAUGGAGAAAGUUUGCCUAAUGUCAGAGUUGGUUUGGAAUGCCACGAGGGGUUAUGGAGGCGUGAGAGCACCUGAGCGUGGCCCUCCCAUUUUCCGUUUUGUCGUACCUAACCCAACCUCCCCACCGCGCUCUAGUAUGAAGUAAUGGGAUGCUAUUGAAGACGCAGCCUUUGAUGUCUGGAAGCAGAUGGGCAGAGGAGGAGAGCUGCGUGCUGACAGGUAUCUCUCUCGUCAUAUCUGAAGUCCAGAGGGGAUGCGAAGCUCUGCGAGAUGCACGCUGAAGGAGACUGCAUUGAUUGUUCUGGCAAGUGUUUUGACUCCUCACCUCACUUCACCUGAAAUUAAACCCUGCCAAUGAGACAUUUAGACGCUGAUGUUAGCCAAAUUAGCCUCCUACUGGUGCUCAUAUAUGGCCUUUCUGCUGAUUAUAAUUUCCCCCAUUGCCUUCACUCACGAAUGCCCAUUUGUCAUGGAUUUGCUGCUUGUAUGGUUUGGCAUUCACGUCCAAGAGUCUUAAGUAAAAAGUUUCUUCCACAACAAGCCCACAAAACUGUCUGAAAGUAACCUAGGCGUUCUUACAUUACUCAAUAGGCCACUUU